UACGUAGGGGGCGAGCGUUGUCCGGAUUUAUUGGGCGUAAAGAGCGUGUAGGCGGCCAGGUAGGUCUGCUGUGAAAACUCGAGGCUCAACCUCGAGACGUCGGCGGAAACCAUCUGGCUAGAGUCCGGAAGAGGAGAGUGGAAUUCCUGGUGUAGCGGUGAAAUGCGCAGAUAUCAGGAAGAACACCCGUGGCGGAAGGCGGCUCUCUGGGAACGGUACUGACGCUGAGACGCGAAAGCGUGGGGAGCGAACAGG
rnacentral:rRNA from 1 species